AAGACUCCAUGUCUAAGUCAUAGAGUUUGUAUUAAGGUUGUGAGAAAAAUGUAAUUUUGUUUUUAUUGGAUCGAUCAUGCAGGAGAUUGUCGUUUGGUGAUUGCGAUGAUCUUCUUUUUAUUGUUUCUGAGUUGUGUUUGAGUAUUGUAUUAUGUUUUGUCACGAAAUCACCAAAGGGGGGGAUUGUUAAGGAUUUUCUAGGUUGGCGGAUUUCGUGAAGUCGAAUGGAGUAUUGAAGAGUUGAUCUUGGAAGUUUGAAGAGAAGAUUCACUUUGAAGAAU
rnacentral:lncRNA from 1 species